rnacentral:RNase_P_RNA from 1 species
CGAGCCGGGCGGGCGGCCGCGUGGAGUCCCCUAGGGGGCUUCCCGAGGAACGUCCGGGCUCCACAGGGCAGGGUGGUGGCUAACGGCCACCCGGGGUGACCCGCGGGACAGUGCCACAGAAAGCAAACCGCCCGGUGCCUCGGUACCGGGUAAGGGUGAAACGGUGGUGUAAGAGACCACCAGUGCUCAGGGUGACCUGAGCAGCUAGGUAAACCCCACCCGGAGCAAGGUCAAGAGGGGCCGCCUCCUCGAAAGAGGGGCGUCCCUGCGCGGACGUUCGAGGGCUGCCCGCCCGAGUCCGCGGGUAGACCGCAGGAGGCCGGCGGCAACGCCGGUCCUAGAUGGAUGGCCGUCGCCAGGGGGUUCGUGAGGACCUCCUGGAACAGAACCCGGCGUACAGCCCGACUCGUCUG